rnacentral:rRNA from 1 species
GACGAAGGAUGCAAGCGUUAUCCGGAUUCAUUGGGUUUAAAGGGUGCGUAGGCGGGCAGGUAAGUCCGUGGUGAAAUCUCUGAGCUUAACUCAGAAACUGCCAUGGAUACUAUUUGUCUUGAAUAUUGUGGAGGUAAGCGGAAUAUGUCAUGUAGCGGUGAAAUGCUUAGAUAUGACAUAGAACACCAAUUGCGAAGGCAGCUUACUACACAGUUAUUGACGCUGAGGCACGAAAGCGUGGGGAUCAAACAGG